GACGAACGCUGGCGGCGUGCCUAAUACAUGCAAGUAGAACGCUGAAGGAGGAGCUUGCUCUUCUGGAUGAGUUGCGAACGGGUGAGUAACGCGUAGGUAACCUGCCUGGUAGCGGGGGAUAACUAUUGGAAACGAUAGCUAAUACCGCAUAACAGUAGAUGUUGCAUGACAUUUGCUUAAAAGGUGCAAUUGCACCACUACCAGAUGGACCUGCGUUGUAUUAGCUAGUUGGUGGGGUAGCGGCUCACCAAGGCGUGGAUACAUAGCCGACCUGAGAGGGGGAUCGGCCACACUGGGACUGAGACACGGCCCAGAAUCCUACGGGAGGCAGCAGUCGGGAACUCUCGGCAAUGGAAGGAAGUCUGACCGAGGAACGCCGCGUGAGUGAAGAAGGUUUUCGGAUCGUAAAGCUCUGUUGUGAGAGAAGAACGAGUGUGAGAGUGGACAGUUCACACUGUGACGGUAUCUGAACAGAAAGGGACGGCUAACUACGUG
rnacentral:rRNA from 1 species